rnacentral:miRNA from 1 species
UCCUGCCUUCCUCUGCACCAG